UCCGAUAUCGUCUAGCGGUUAGGAUUCCGCCCUUUCACGGCGGCGGCCGGGGUUCGAUUCCCCGUAUCGGAG